GAUGAAGAACGUAGCGAAAUGCGAUAAGUAAUGUGAAUUGCAGAGUUUAGUGAAUCAUCGAAUCUUUGAACGCACAUUGCGCCCGCUAGUAUUCUGGCGGGCAUGCCUGUCCGAGCGUCAUUUCAACCCAUCAAGCUUAGCGCUUGUGUUGGAGCCCUGCGGCCGCCGCAGCCUCCUAAAAUCAGUGGCGGGCUCGCUAUCACGCUGAGUGCAGUAGUAUUCUUCUCACUCCUGUGGUGUAGCGGGUAACCAGCCGUAAACCCCCCCAUCUAUAAAGGUUGACCUCGGAUCAGGUAGGAAUACCCGCUGAACUUAAGCAUAUCAAUAAGCGGAGGA
rnacentral:misc_RNA from 1 species